rnacentral:rRNA from 1 species
CGACCGGCGCACGGGUGAGUAACGCGUAUGCAACCUGCCCGUUUCAGCGGGAUAACCCGGAGAAAUCCGGCCUAAUACCGCAUGUGGCCGAGGGGAGGCAUCUUCUUUCGGCCAAAGGAGGCGACUCCGGAGGCGGAUGGGCAUGCGUGACAUUAGCUUGUUGGCGGGGUAACGGCCCACCAAGGCGACGAUGUCUAGGGGUUCUGAGAGGAAGGUCCCCCACACUGGUACUGAGACACGGACCAGACUCCUACGGAAGGCAGCAG